UGUGAGUUCCUCCUUUCCCAGGGAAGAGGGAAACAGCCCCGAUUGCUUUUGCAAGGAACAGUAGAAUACAGCAGAACUGGGAAGGAAAACACAGCAGCUCCUAGUGCAUUCCAAAGAUUUGGUUUGAAAGCAUGAGAAACCUGCUGGAGCCAAUUUUUAAACAGUGAAGAGAUGGCUGCAGUUGACAGGGUCACUGUGGAAACUAUUAAAAACCAAUUAAAUCCAAUCGGUGAUGUGAUUAUUGCACCAAACAAAAGGGACACUAUGUACUACACUACGAUUUGAAGCUUCAGAGUCUUCUCCAUCAGGCAAAGAUGUAAAAUAGCAUACAGGGGAAGGUUUCUACCAUGUUGUUCAUCACUACCUCAUAUGGUGGAAAAUUUCAUGGCUUAAUGAUGUCGUGUGUGAAAUAUAAUAAAAAUAUAAUUUGCAAUACCUCUCACAUCUUGCUUUUUUCUUAACUUUUUCUCUCCCC